AGGUUACUGCUAUCGGUGUUCGCCUAAGCCAUGCGAGUCAUAUGUUCUUCGUGAACAUGGCGUACUGCUCAGUAACACGUGGAUAACCUGCCCUUGGGUCCGGCAUAACCCCGGGAAACUGGGGAUAAUUCCGGAUAACGCACAUAUGCUGGAAUGCUUUAUGCGUCAAAUGGAUUCGUCCGCCCAAGGAUGGGUCUGCGGCCUAUCAGGUAGUAGUGGGUGUAAUGUACCUACUAGCCUACGACGGGUACGGGUCGUGAGAGCAAGAGCCCGGAGAUGGAUUCUGAGACAUGAAUCCAGGCCCUACGGGGCGCAGCAGGCGCGAAAACUUUACAAUGCGGGAAACCGUGAUAAGGGGACACCGAGUGCCAGCAUCAUAUGCUGGCUGUCCGGGUGUGUAAAAUACACCUGUUAGCAAGGGCCGGGCAAGACCGGUGCCAGCCGCCGCGGUAACACCGGCGGCCCGAGUGGUGAUCGUGAUUAUUGGGUCUAAAGGGUCCGUAGCCGGUUUGGUCAGUCCUCCGGGAAAUCUGACGGCUUAACCGUUAGGCUUUCGGGGGAUACUGCCAGACUUGGAACCGGGAGAGGUAAGAGGUACUACAGGGGUAGGAGUGAAAUCUUGUAAUCCCUGUGGGACCACCUGUGGCGAAGGCGUCUUACCAGAACGGGUUCGACGGUGAGGGACGAAAGCUGGGGGCACGAACCGGAUUAGAUACCCGGGUAGUCCCAGCCGUAAACGAUGCUCGCUAGGUGUCAGGCAUGGCGCGACCGUGUCUGGUGCCGCAGGGAAGCCGUGAAGCGAGCCACCUGGGAAGUACGGCCGCAAGGCUGAAACUUAA
rnacentral:rRNA from 1 species